rnacentral:tRNA from 1 species
AAUUAGAUAUUUUAAAAAGAAUAUAAAAUUGCAAAUUUUAAGGUUUAUUCAAUCUAUUUU